UACGUUCCCGGGCCUUGUACACACCGCCCGUCACACCACGAAAGUCGGCAACACCCGAAGCCGGUGGCCUAACCCGUCAGGGGAGGAGCCGUCGAAGGUGGGGUCGGUGAUUGGGGUG
rnacentral:rRNA from 1 species